rnacentral:lncRNA from 1 species
UCUGCAGCUCUAGAAGAAAUGAAAGAGUGAGAAGCACCGGGGUCCAUUAAAGCAUACACCUCUGAACACCCAAUGAUGAGAUUACCUGACACCACUGUGUUCGACGUGUCUGCCUCCUGCUGAGUCAGGGUGAAAAUCCGUGCUGGGGCUGACGGACUUGCACCUCGGGAACCCAUCCCUGAUGAAGAGGCUGCCCCUCUUCCUCUUCC